GAUGAACGCUGACAGAAUGCUUAACACAUGCAAGUCGACUGGAAUUCACCUUCGGGUGAUAGUACGGUGGCGGACGGGUGAGUAACGCGUAAAGAACUUGCCCUCUAGACUGGGACAACUGUUGGAAACGACAGCUAAUACCGGAUAUUAUGAGAACCUCGCAUGGGGAACUUAUGAAAGCUAUAUGCGCUAGAGGAGAGCUUUGCGUGCCAUUAGGUAGUUGGUAGGGUAACGGCCUACCAAGCCGACGAUGGCUAGCCGGCCUGAGAGGGUGAUCGGCCACAAGGGGACUGAGACACGGCCCUUACUCCUACGGGAGGCAGCAGUGGGGAAUAUUGGACAAUGGACCAAAAGUCUGAUCCAGCAAUUCUGUGUGCACGAUGAAGGUUUUCGGAUCGUAAAGUGCUUUCAGCAGGGAAGAAAAAAAAUAGACGGUACCUGCAGAAGAAGCGACGGCUAAAUACGUGCCAGCCGCCGCAGUAAU
rnacentral:rRNA from 1 species